ACACACCAAAAUUGAUAGAACAUCUCUUAGAGAGAAAAGAGUGUAAAACUCUAGUUUGAGUGUCAAAGAGAGUGGAGAGUUAGAGAGAAAACUCAGUUGAGCAAAUAGUGAGUUAGAGAAGUGUAUUUUUCAGUUGAGAGUUUGUAAUCUCCAUAUUAUUUGCAUAGUGAAUUUCUGAGAUCUCUCUCCGUGGUUUUUUCCAAUUGGGUUUCCACGUAAAUUUCUGGUGUUAUUAUUUUAUAUCUCAUACAGUAGUGUGUUUGUAUUUAUCUUAGUGUGUUUGUAUUUAUCUAGUGUAUUUGUGUGAGCCUUAUUUCUCAACAGAUAAUAUGUAAAUUGAUUGUUAAACAUAUUAGUAUGUUGAAUUACGAAAAGAACGCAAUUCGUAUGGUAUAAUUUGGUUAAGAAACGAAGAUUUGGUGAUUGAAUUCGCUAAACAUGUUGGAAAAUGAAGAAAACUAGUAAAAACAUGGUUUUAAUCUUUUAAAAUUGAUUGUGUAAGAUGUUUACAUUAUUAGAAUCAUGAUAUGCAUUCU
rnacentral:lncRNA from 1 species